AGUGAACGCUGGCGGUAGGCCUAACACAUGCAAGUCGAACGGCAGCACAGUAAGAGCUUGCUCUUACGGGUGGCGAGUGGCGGACGGGUGAGGAAUACAUCGGAAUCUACUUUUUCGUGGGGGAUAACGUAGGGAAACUUACGCUAAUACCGCAUACGACCUACGGGUGAAAGCAGGGGAUCUUCGGACCUUGCGCGAUUGAAUGAGCCGAUGUCGGAUUAGCUAGUUGGCGGGGUAAAGGCCCACCAAGGCGGCGAUCCGUAGCUGGGCUGAGAGGAUGAUCAGCCACACUGGAACUGAGACACGGUCCAGACUCCUACGGGAGGCAGCAGUGGGGAAUAUUGGACAAUGGGCGCAAGCCUGAUCCAGCCAUACCGCGUGGGUGAAGAAGGCCUUCGGGUUGUAAAGCCCUUUUGUUGGGAAAGAAAAGCAGCAGGUUAAUACCCCGCUGUUCUGACGGUACCCAAAGAAUAAGCACCGGCUAACUUCG
rnacentral:rRNA from 1 species